CGGCCACACUGGAACUGAGACACGGUCCAGACUCCUACGGGAGGCAGCAGUGGGGAAUAUUGCACAAUGGAGGAAACUCUGAUGCAGCGACGCCGCGUGAAUGAUGAAGGCCUUCGGGUUGUAAAGUUCUGUCCUUGGGGAAGAUAAUGACGGUACCCAAGGAGGAAGCCCCGGCUAACUACGUGCCAGCAGCCGCGGUAAUACGUAGGGGGCGAGCGUUGUCCGGAAUUAUUGGGCGUAAAGGGUUCGCAGGCGGUCUGAUAAGUCAGAUGUGAAAGGCGUAGGCUCAACCUACGUAAGCAUUUGAAACUGUCAGACUUGAGUUAAGGAGAGGAAAGUGGAAUUCCUAGUGUAGCGGUGAAAUGCGUAGAUAUUAGGAGGAAUACCAGUGGCGAAGGCGACUUUCUGGACUUAUACUGACGCUGAGGAACGAAAGCGUGGGGAGCAAACAGGAUUAGAUACCCUGGUAGUCCACGCCGUAAACGAUGAGUGCUAGGUGUUGGGGGUCAAACCUCGGUGCCGCAGCUAACGCA
rnacentral:rRNA from 1 species